rnacentral:sRNA from 1 species
UAUAGCCCCCUCCUCUUCAGAGGAGGGGGUUGGGGGUGGUGGAACGCUGACCCGGCGCGCGUGGCAUCCACCACCCCCCAGCCCCCUCCUCUGAAGAGGAUGGGGAGCAC